CUAAUGCUCCUCUGGCAUCCUGUACUAAGGUUGUUUUAAAGCUGUGGAACCUUCUUCGUUGGCUCAAGUGAGGAGCAGCUUCUCCUGAAGGUGUCUGCAGGAUUUGGCAGCUGUUCCACACCUCUGAACUUGAUGGAUGUUGCAGUAAGGACUCUGCAGAUGAACCCCAAACGAGGCAACAACUACUUUGGGAAAGUGAAGGAAGUUCCUGAAUUGUUGAUAUUUACCAGAAUUUUAGUUAGUGCAUAUGCUGAGACUUCAUUGUAUGACUGGAAAUUAGUGAGGAUGGAUAUGGAAGCAUCUUAAUGCUGUAGAAACUAUAUAAGAAUAAAACCCUAAUAAAAAAUCGCA
rnacentral:lncRNA from 1 species